UGGGAACUGCGUUNUGAACUGGGUGACUAGAGUGUGUCAGAGGGAGGUAGAAUNCCACGUGUAGCAGUGAAAUGCGUAGAGAUGUGGAGGAAUACCGAUGGCGAAGGCAGCCUCCUGGGAUAACACUGACGUUCAUGCCCGAAAGCGUGGGUAGCAAACAGGAUUAGAUACCCUGGUAGUCCACGCCCUAAACGAUGUCGAUUAGCUGUUGGGCAGCAUGACUGCUUAGUAGCGAAGCUAACGCGUGAAAUCGACCGCCUGGGGAGUACGGUCGCAAGAUUAAAACUCAAAGGAAUUGACGGGGACCCGCACAAGCGGUGGAUGAUGUGGAUUAAUUCGAUGCAACGCGAAGAACCUUACCUGGUCUUGACAUGUACGGAACCCUCCAGAGACGGAGGGGUGCCUUCGGGAGCCGUAACACAGGUGCUGCAUGGCUGUCGUCAGCUCGUGUCGUGAGAUGUUGGGUUAAGUCCCGCAACGAGCGCAGCCCUUGUCAUUAGUUGCCAUCAUUAAGUUGGGCACUCUAAUGAGACUGCCGGUGACAAGCCGGAGGAAGGUGGGGAUGACGUCAAGUCCUCAUGGCCCUUAUGACCAGGGCUUCACACGUCAUACAAUGGUCGGUACAGAGGGUAGCCAAGCCGCGAGGUGGAGCCAAUCUCACAAAACCGAUCGUAGUCCGGAUUGCACUCUGCAACUCGAGUGCAUGAAGUCGGAAUCGCUAGUAAUCGCAGGUCAGCAUACUGCGGUGAAUACGUUCCCGGGUCUUGUACACACCGCCCGUCACACCAUGGGAGUGGGGGAUACCAGAAGUAG
rnacentral:rRNA from 1 species